GGAAACACAGAAUUUCUGCUGCUCACACAAGAAAGUCCGGUGAGAGGACAUUCUACAAUCUUUAACCUGGACUGUCCAUGUUCAUCCUGACUCAGGAACAUACCUCUGAUGCCCUGCUAGUGAAUGAGAAGAGUAAACCCUGCCCAGAGGUUCUGUUGGACUGAGUUUCAGCAGAAAGGGCCUUUAUUAGCCUUUGAGAACAGAUUCCAGCUUCCAGCAGCCAGAAUCUCCUCUGGGGGUUGGUGAAAGUUAAGGAGGAUGGGGAUAGAUAGAGGGAUGUCCCUCCAUCUGUCCUGGCUUUUGAUCUUAGUUCUGGAGGUUGUUCCAUCUUCAGCAGGAAACUACACUAUCAUCCCUCAGAACGUCACCAUAUCCACCGGCAACCUGGGAACUUUCCGCUGUGGAGUCACACAGAUGCCACCCAUUAACUUCACUGCCCAGCGGCCUGACCGUAACUACACCCUCACCUGCCCUGGACCUGCCCUGAACUUCCCCAUCCUGGCACUGAGUGGGCACUGUACUGGGACGGCCGCUGAUAUCAUUGCUACAUGGAACAUGGCAAAUGUUGCAUCAAACGUUAAUGGGACGGUUUUCAGAUGUCAAGCUGUGGGUCUCAGUGACAAGUAUGCUUACCUGUGGAUAACCGGAAGCAGUAAAUACUAUGCUAUGCUCUUUGGCUGUGUGAUGGGAGGCUUCUUUGGAAUCCUAAUAAUCUUCGCUGUGUCAUACGUCUCGCUGAAAAGAUCAGAGAGACUUCAGAACUGCUUCAGUAAGUGUUUUCCUUCUCGUACCAUUCAAACAAAUCCUGUUUUUUAAUGCAAUGAUUAGAUAAU
rnacentral:lncRNA from 1 species